rnacentral:tRNA from 1 species
GUAGAUGUAGUUUAAACAAAACGCUAAACUGUGAAUUUAGAUAUAGGAGCUUAAGACCCCUUAUCUACC